AUACUUUUUUAGUUCCUAAGCAUGAUGAUUGCAUGUUCACACACAUAUAUGCAAUGUGCCUCCCUCAAACCUUGUUACAGCUUCAACAUAUUACCCAUCUGACA
ensembl:snoRNA